UUAAGUGCUAAUACACCAAUACUUAUGCAAAGUUUAUUUUUGCGAAUAUUUGCUGUCUUUGAACUUGAAUAUUUUAAAUGUCUUCUUAAGUUUUUCUACGUGAACUUAGAUUCAUUACAUUACGUAGACAUGCUUAUAUUAUAUUAAUUCAUUCUUUUUCAAAGGUGGAUUAGGUAUCUGAAACACAAUUUCUCAUUGUCCUGCCUAUUAAACUUUCUAGCAAUGUCAAUAUAUUACGCAGUGAUCAUGUAAGUAUCAUCACAAUUUCCAGGACGAUGUUCCAUGGACAUAGUUUUGCCAUGAUUAUGAACUUUGUUAUGAUAAUAUGUGCUACACUGUUCGUUAUUGAUGCAUACCAUACAAUACAAUGCAUGUUCGACGAAAGUCAGAAAUUCUUUUAUAUUCCAAUUCUCGGGAAACCUAACUCCAUCGGAAAUUUUGAAAGAGCCGGGAAUUUCGACGUGAUCAUCGAAUUUUCACUUUUG